rnacentral:rRNA from 1 species
AUUGAACGCUGGCGGCAGGCCUAACACAUGCAAGUCGAGCGGAGCGGCGGACGGGUGAGUAAUGCCUAGGAAUCUGCCUGGUAGCGGGGGAUAACGUCCGGAAACGGGCGCUAAUACCGCAUCCUAUCACUUGAGCCUAGGUAGGGGUAGCUAGUUGGUGGGGUAAAGGCCUACCAAGGCGACGACCCGUAACUGGUUCGAGUGGAUGAUCAGUCACACUGGAACUGAGACACGGUCCAGACUCCUACGGGAGGCAGCAGUGGGGAAUAUUGGACAAUGGGCGAAAGCCUUAUCCAGCCAUGCCGCGUGUGUGAAGAAGGUCUUCGGGUUGUAAAGCACUUUAAGUUGGGAGGCGUUACCAACAGAAGAAGCACCGGCUAACUUCGUGCCAGCAGCCGCGGUAAUUC